UUUCCGUAGGUGAACCUGCGGAAGGAUCAUUAACACAUAAACGAUGUGCUAAUACUCACUCUGAUCCGUAAACUUGUCCACGCGACAUUGCGCUCACACACAUCCAUGUUACCCCUACUACCACCACCGCGUCUGCCCCCCUCUGACUUCAUCGGACGGGGGCUUACGUUGUCACACGAACUUUUAAUACAGUAUGAACUGAAUUUUUUUUUUUUGCGAUUUCGCGGACAAUACAACUUUAAACAACGUAUCUCUUCGCUCUCGCAUCGAUGAAUAACG
rnacentral:misc_RNA from 1 species